rfam:Dasypus novemcinctus cont2.553790, whole genome shotgun sequence.
UCCCCGUGAAGAAACAUUCACAUGUCUUACCUUCUGUCCUAGUCCCAGAGCCUGUAAAGGUGAACCCACUGGGGCUGGCUGGGGGAUAAGAGGAGCAUUUGUUCCAGAUGGAACUGUCUGAGGGAU